rnacentral:rRNA from 1 species
AUGAACGCUGGCGGCGUGCCUAAUACAUGCAAGUCGAGCGAACAGACGAGGAGCUUGCUCCUCUGACGUUAGCGGCGGACGGGUGAGUAACACGUGGAUAACCUACCUAUAAGACUGGGAUAACUUCGGGAAACCGGAGCUAAUACCGAAUAAUAUAUUGAACCGCAUGGUUCAAUAGUGAAAGACGGUUUUGCUGUCACUUAUAGAUGGAUCCGCGCCGCAUUAGCUAGUUGGUAAGGUAACGGCUUACCAAGGCAACGAUGCGUAGCCGACCUGAGAGGGUGAUCGGCCACACUGGAACUGAGACACGGUCCAGACUCCUACGGGAGGCAGCAGUAGGGAAUCUUCCGCAAUGGGCGAAAGCCUGACGGAGCAACGCCGCGUGAGUGAUGAAGGUCUUCGGAUCGUAAAACUCUGUUAUUAGGGAAGAACAAAUGUGUAAGUAACUAUGCACGUCUUGACGGUACCUAAUCAGAAAGCCACGGCUAACUACGUG